UUGCCUCCUUUUUCAUUAACCCAUCCUGUAACCUAGCAGCGCCUCUGGUACACAGUGAGUGCUCAGUAAGUGUUGAGCAACCAACUGAUCGUAACAACAGAUGACUGGCUGAGAACUUGGGACAACUGAGUGACAUCUGUCUCACUACAACAGAGCGCUGCAACAAGUACCUGGAAGUGAACCAACGGAGAGCGGAGUGAAUUUCCGGGGCAGGGGCUAUUUUAGAUGGAUUCCCCCUAACGCCACCCCUUUCUCAGCAAGGGGCAUUUCUUUCUGAGUGCUUGCAGACUGAAGAGAGGCCGGCCCCAAUUCCUGGGGCUCCCCAAGGAGCUGGCUUUCAGCAGGGUUUAGAGCAGCACAGAAAGUGAAUGGACCCUGGAAAAAUGAUUCUGAACUGUAGAGCUGUUUACUUGGGAGCGUCAGAGAUGUGUGCUCCUUGCCCUGUGAAGUAAACCUAACUGAGAAUAAGGCCAACUCACAGAAGCAAGAGACGAAUCAAAGGGGGAGAUCUAAGAUGUUGGAGUCUCUGGAUCCAGCUACGCUUGAAACCGGCACCAUCCUGUCUUCCCUGUUACAUGAGACGACGUGUUCACUUUUGGCUUAAGCCAGUUUGCUUUAGGUUCUGAUCACGUACCACUGAAAGCGAAUCUGACCACUACAGUAAAUAUUAUGGAGCCAAACUUAAUAAAUGACUGCCGCCUGAAAGGGAGUAGGGUGAGGGGUGGUAAAGUUAUCAAGAUGGAAUGAUAUGAAAGCACAGCAUCUGGAGCUAUAUUGUGAAGAAGCAGAUGCUUUAUUCACCCCAUUAGGCCUUUAUAACAAUAUAUUUUAAGUUGUGAGUCAUGAAAUCAAUUUACUGGUACAUGAAUGUUAUUUAUUCAAAGCUAGAAUAGGAUACAAAACAAACAAUACAUCCCACAUGGUAAAGGUAAGUUUGACUUCAUGACAUUUCAGAUAUAUGUAUAAAUAUACAUGUUCUGGAUAAUGAU